AAUCGCUGCGAUGGCCCCAAAGCUAUCGGAGAGGAAAGUCUGGACUUCGCAGGAGCAGAUACCAGUGAAAGACUGGGGGCUGUAAAGCUACGGAAAGUACAACAGAAAACACACCGCUUCUUUAUGAAGACAGGAUGAAAACGUUCGCUUUGAGAGCGAACCGGGCGUCAGAGAUGACGCCUCCGUGUAAACCCUAUCUGAAGCAAGAAAAAGAGCCAUAUCCCGCUCCAGGAGGCUCUUGAUAGUCGCUUGAGGGUUUUGGCAACAAAACCCCUAGAUGAAUGAUUGCUCAAGACAAAAUCCGGCUUAUCGCA
rnacentral:RNase_P_RNA from 1 species